rnacentral:rRNA from 2 species
UGAAGACGACGAGGUAGAUAGGUUGGAGGUGGAAGUGCAGCAAUGCAUGGAGCUGACCAAUACUAAUCGGUCGAGGGCUUAUCCAAAU